AGGUAGUCGUCUACGGUAGGGCUGAUAAUUGGGGUGAAGUCGUAACAAGGUAGCCGUAGGGGAACCUGCGGCUGGAUCACCUCCUUU
rnacentral:rRNA from 1 species